UUUUUUGUUAAAAUAUAUGAUUUGCAAUUGUAAGAUUUAGAUUCUAUAUGGGGAU
rnacentral:tRNA from 1 species